rnacentral:misc_RNA from 1 species
CAAUGAUCCGCAAUAGCCUUCCUCAGCCUCUGUAUCUCUCUCUCCGAAUCAAACAGAUCCCUGUUGGCAGCAUCCAGCAAUGACUGCUGAUGAGCAGAAUGCGACAUCUGAGCAUUGAGAGAAGCUUGCAACUCUACAAUCUGUUCUUGCAUCUCUAAUAUUGUUUCGUCCCUUCUCUUUAACUGUAGCCUCAGCUUUUGUAUCACUUCUCGCUUGCUGUAUAUG